UACGAAGGGGGCUAGCGUUGCUCGGAAUGACUGGGCGUAAAGGGCGCGUAGGCGGAUGGCACAGUCAGAUGUGAAAUUCCCGGGCUUAACCUGGGGGCUGCAUUUGAUACGUGUGAUCUAGAGUGAGGAAGAGGGUCGUGGAAUUCCCAGUGUAGAGGUGAAAUUCGUAGAUAUUGGGAAGAACACCGGUGGCGAAGGCGGCGACCUGGUCCUUGACUGACGCUGAGGCGCGACAGCGUGGGGAGCAAACAGG
rnacentral:rRNA from 1 species